rnacentral:rRNA from 1 species
GGGGCUUGGUGGUUAUAGGGGGCGUCUACUUGUAGAGCCUGACCUCCACUUCUAACACUGUGCACUUGAUGGCGAGGUAAUGGAACUUUCGAGUGAAACUACCUUGCGGCUUCAUUUUAAACAUUAGUCAAAGUAUGUCAUGAAAUAUAAAAACAAAAAAAAACUUUCAACAACGGAUCUCUUGGCUCUCGCAUCGAUGAAGAACGCAGCGAAAUGUGAUAAGUAAUGUGAAUUGCAGAAUUCAGUGAAUCAUCGAAUCUUUGAACGCACCUUGCGCUCCCUGGUAUUCCGGGGAGCAUGCCUGUUUGAGUGUCAUGAACUCUUCAACCCACCAGUUUCUAGUAGACUGCGUUGGUGUUUGGAUUUUGAGCGUUGCUAGUCUGACUAGCUCGUUCGUAAUAUAUUAGCAUCUCUAAUUCGAAUUCGGAUUGACUCAGUGUAAUAGACUAUUCGCUGAGGACACUUUUAUUAGUGGCCGUACUAGAACCAGUAGAAGCUUCCAACUAUUGUAGUCAACUUUAAUUUAGACCUCAGAUCAGGCAGGAUUACCCGCUGAACUUAAGCAUAUCAAAG